AGUGAACGCUGGCGGUAGGCCUAACACAUGCGAGUCGAACGGCAGCACAGUAAGAGCUUGCUCUUACGGGUGGCGAGUGGCGGACGGGUGAGGAAUACAUCGGAAUCUACUUUUUCGUGGGGGAUAACGUAGGGAAACUUACGCUAAUACCGCAUACGACCUACGGGUGAAAGCAGGGGAUCUUCGGACCUUGCGCGAUUGAAUGAGCCGAUGUCGGAUUAGCUAGUUGGCGGGGUAAAGGCCCACCAAGGCGACGAUCCGUAGCUGGUCUGAGAGGAUGAUCAGCCACACUGGAACUGAGACACGGUCCAGACUCCUACGGGAGGCAGCAGUGGGGAAUAUUGGACAAUUGGCGCAAGCCUGAUCCAGCCAUACCGCGUGGGUGAAGAAGGCCUUCGGGUUGUAAAGCCCUUUUGUUGGGAAAGAAAAGCAGCAGGUUAAUACCCCGCUGUUCUGACGGUACCCAAAGAAUAAGCACCGGCUAACUUCGUG
rnacentral:rRNA from 1 species